rnacentral:rRNA from 1 species
CCUACGGGUGGCAGCAGUGGGGAAUAUUGCACAAUGGGGGAAACCCUGAUGCAGCGACGCCGCGUGAGUGAAGAAGUAAUUCGUUAUGUAAAGCUCUAUCAGCAGGGAAGAAAAGGACGGUACCUGAGUAAGAAGCCCCGGCUAACUACGUGCCAGCAGCCGCGGUAAGACGUCGGGGGCAAGCGUUAUCCGGAUUUACUGGGUGUAAAGGGAGCGUAGACGGCAGUGCAAGUCUGGAGUGAAAGGCGGGGGCUCAACCCCCGGACUCCUCGGGAACCUGUACGGCGGGAGUGCAGGAGAGGUAAGUGGCAUUCCUAGUGUCGCGGUGACAUGCGUAGAUAUUAGGCGGAACCCCAGUGGCGAAGGCGGCUUACUGGACUGUACCUGCCGUUGAGGCUCGACAGCGUGGGGAGCAAACAGGAUUAGAUACCCUAGUAGUC